UACGUAGGUGGCAAGCGUUGUCCGGAUUUACUGGGCGUAAAGAGCGCGCAGGCGGUCGUUCAAGUCGCGUGUGAAAGCCCCCGGCUCAACUGGGGAGGGUCACGCGAUACUGAUCGACUCGAAGGCAGGAGAGGGAAGUGGAAUUCCCGGUGUAGUGGUGAAAUGCGUAGAUAUCGGGAGGAACACCAGUGGCGAAGGCGACUUCCUGGACAGAUACUGACACUGAGACACGAAAGCGUGGGGAGCAAACAGG
rnacentral:rRNA from 1 species